CCCUGCCAGCCUGGUCAGCCAGGUACUUUUAUCAGGUAAUGAAAAACAGUAACAUUAUUGCUGACUAUUGAUGGGUUUAAAUCACACAUAGAUAUUACAUAUUUUUUGAAACAAAUAAUAAUGAAAACACAACAUGUCAGUAUCUAUGGGAUACAGAGAAAGCAAUACUGAAAGGAAAGAUUAUAGAUAUAAAUGCCUACAUCAAAAGAGAAGAAAACCUUCAAAUAAAUAGCCUGAUAAUGCAUCCUAAAGAACAAGAAAAGCAAAAGCAAAUCAAACCCAAACUUAGUAGAAGGAAAAAUAAAGAUCAGAACAGAAAUAAAUGAAUUUGAAAUGAAGAAAACAAUAUGAAAGAUCAGUAAAAGCCACAUAUCAUAUGAUUUCGUUAAUAUUAAAUGUCCAGAAUAGGCAAACUAUAUAGAGACAGAAAGUAACUUACUGAUUGCCAGGGAUUAGGAGAAAGGGAAGCGGAAAGUAACUGCUAAUAAAUACAGAAUUGUUUUGGCCUUUGGUGUGUGUGUAUGUGUGUGUGUGUGUGUAUAUGUGUGUGUGUGUGUAUGUGUGUGUGUGUAUGUGUGUGUGUGUGUAUGUGUGGUGAUGAAAAUGUUCUGUAAUUAGAUAGUUGUAAUGGUUGCACAACUUUGUGAUACUAAAACAAGAUAAAGAUAUCAUAAGCAAAGAUAAUUAGAGACCAACAGUUACAUAGACACAAAAAUUCUUAACAAAAUAUUAGCAGACCAAAUCUACCAACAUCUGACAAUCUUGGCCCACUGCAACCUCCGCCUCCCAGGCUCAAGCAAUUCUC
rnacentral:lncRNA from 10 species